rnacentral:rRNA from 1 species
UACGUAGGGUCCGAGCGUUGUCCGGAAUUAUUGGGCGUAAAGAGCUCGUAGGCGGUCUGUCGCGUCGGCUGUGAAAACCCGGGGCUCAACCCGGCCCUGCAGUCGAUACGGGCAGACUAGAGUGUGGUAGGGGAGACUGGAAUUCCUGGUGUAGCGGUGAAAUGCGCAGAUAUCAGGAGGAACACCGGUGGCGAAGGCGGGUCUCUGGGCCAUAACUGACGCUGAGGAGCGAAAGCGUGGGGAGCGAACAGG